GACGAACCGUGCAAACGUUGUUCGGAAUCACUGGGCUUAAAGGGCGCGUAGGCGGCUUGGCAAGUCGGGUGUGAAACCUCCAGGCUCAACCUGGAGACGCCACCCGAUACUGCCAUGGCUAGAGUCCGGUAGGGGACCACGGAAUUCCUGGUGUAGCGGUGAAAUGCGCAGAUAUCGGGAAGAACACCCGUGGCGAAGGCGGUUCUCUGGGACGGUACUGACGGCUGAGACGCGAAAGCGUGG
rnacentral:rRNA from 1 species